AGAGUUUGAUCCUGGCUCAGGAUGAACGCUAGCUACAGGCUUAACACAUGCAAGUCGAGGGGCAGCAGGAUCUUAGCUUGCUAAGAUUGCUGGCGACCGGCGCACGGGUGAGUAACGCGUAUCCAACCUUCCCCUUAGUAGGGCAUAGCCCGAUGAAAAUCGGAUUAAUACCCUAUGUUUUCCAAUGAGGACAUCUGAGCUGGAACAAAGAUUCAUCGCUAAGGGAUGGGGAUGCGUCCGAUUAGGUAGUCGGCGGGGUAACGGCCCACCGAGCCAUCGAUCGGUAGGGGUUCUGAGAGGAAGGUCCCCCACAUUGGAACUGAGACACGGUCCAAACUCCUACGGGAGGCAGCAGUGAGGAAUAUUGGUCAAUGGGCGAGAGCCUGAACCAGCCAAGUAGCGUGCAGGAUGACGGCCCUAUGGGUUGUAAACUGCUUUUAUGCGGGGAUAAAGUGCGCCACGUGUGGCGUUUUGUAGGUACCGCAUGAAUAAGGACCGGCUAAUUCCGUGCCAGCAGCCGCGGUAAUACGGAAGGUCCGGGCGUUAUCCGGAUUUAUUGGGUUUAAAGGGAGCGCAGGCUGGAGAUUAAGCGUGACGUGAAAUGUAGCCGCUCAACGGCUGAGUUGCGUCGCGAACUGGUUUUCUUGAGUGAGUACGACGUCAGCGGAAUUCGUGGUGUAGCGGUGAAAUGCUUAGAUAUCACGAAGAACCCCGAUUGCGAAGGCAGCUGACGAGUCCUUUACUGACGCUAAAGCUCGAAGGUGCGGGUAUCGAACAGGAUUAGAUACCCUGGUAGUCCGCACGGUAAACGAUGGAUGCCCGCUGUUGGCGAUACACUGUCAGCGGCCAAGCGAAAGCGUUAAGCAUCCCACC
rnacentral:rRNA from 1 species